rnacentral:rRNA from 1 species
GAUCAUGGCUCAGGAUGAACGCUAGCUACAGGCUUAACACGUGCAAGUCGAGGGGCAGCAUGGUCUUAGCUUGCUAAGACCGAUGGCGACCGGCGCACGGGUGAGUAACGCGUAUCCAACCUGCCUUACACUCUUGGACAGCCUUCUGAAAGGGAGAUUAAUACAAGAUGUUAUCAUGAGUAAGCAUUUUCGCAUGAUUAAAGGUUUACCGGUGUAAGAUGGGGAUGCGUU